UCGCAUAGCAACAUGAUUAUAAUACCUGUUUUGUGUCUGAUCAUACCACCCCUCAGGAAUGCUUUUGUAAAUAAGCCAUUCUCUAAAGGCAUCUUAUUGCUGAAAAUUAAACCGUAACUCGACUUUCAGUCGGGAUUGGUUUAAAAUGAUCUUGCUUGUUGCAUUAAGUUCUCCUCCUUUCUCUGCCCUCCUCGCCAGAUGCAGCUAAGCCCUUCAGCGUGGUGGUCUUCCAUUGCCGGCACAUGUUCCACAAGGAGUGUCUGCCCAUGCCCAGCAUGAACUCUGCUGCACAGUUCUGCAACAUCUGCAGUGCUAAGAACCGUGGACCAGGAAGUGCAAUUUUGGAGAUGAAAAAAUAGCUCAUUUCUCCUUGUCAGUCUCCUUGUCACCACUCUUUUUGAGACUGUUUUUGCAACAACAAAAGCAUUUGUUGACACUCGUGCUGUUAAGAGAUUUGUUUAUGUUUAUAUUAUACUCAAAAACAAUUUCUUCAUCU
rnacentral:sRNA from 1 species